rnacentral:rRNA from 1 species
GAAUAUUGCGCAAUGGGCGAAAGCCUGACGCAGCGACGCCGCGUGGGUGAAGAAGGUUUUCGGAUCGUAAAGCCCUUUUCUUGGUGACGAGAGAGGAAGGUAGCCAAGGAAUAAGUGUCGGCUAACUACGUGCCAGCAGCCGCGGUAAAACGUAGGACGCAAGCGUUAUCCGGAAUUACUGGGCGUAAAGCGCGCGCAGGCGGGUUACCAAGUCAUGUGUGAAAGCUCCCGGCUAAACUGGGAGAGGUCAGAUGAUACUGGUAGUCUUGAGGAGGUUAGAGGCGUGUGGAAUUCCGCGUGUAGUGGUGAAAUGCGUAGAGAUGCGGAGGAACACCAGUGGCGAAGGCGGCACGCUGGGACCUAACUGACGCUGAGGCGCGAAAGCAUGGGUAGCGAACGGG